rnacentral:rRNA from 1 species
AUGAAAAACUUCAUUAAGUCCCAAGUACAAUCUUGCUUAGUGUGCCAACGAGCUGAACCUGAGAGGGUGCAGUACCCUGGGCUCUUGUCACCCUUGCUAGUUCCUCCUAAAGCAUGGGAUACAGUGUCUAUGGAUUUCAUUUCUGUCCUUCCUUCAUCCUACCAGUACAAUUGCAUUUUGGUAGUCAUUGACAAAUUCUCCAAAUAUGGCCAUUUCAUGGCCCUCACACAUCCUUUUAAUGCCCAAAAAGUCACUGAAGUUUUUCUUGACAAUGUUUAUAAGCUACAUGGUAAGCCCAGCUUGAUCAUUUGGGAUAGAGACCCUAUCUUCACAAGUGCAUUCUGGAAACUCCUUAUUUCCAAAACUGGUGCUGAGUUAAACAUGAGUACAGCUAAUCAUCGUGAGGCUGAUGGCCAGACCGAAAGGGUCAAUCAAUAG